GGUCAAGUGACUAAGAGCAUGUGGUGGAUGCCUUGGCGAUGAUAGGCGACGAAAGACGUGAUAGCCUGCGAUAAGCUUCGGGGAGCUGGCAAAUAAGCUUUGAUCCGGAGAUUUCUGAAUGGGGAAACCCACCCGCAAGGGUAUCGCAUACUGAAUACAUAGGUAUGCGAGGCGAACCUGGAGAACUGAAACAUCUAAGUACCCAGAGGAAAAGACAUCAACCGAGAUUCCGAAAGUAGUGGCGAGCGAAAUCGGAACAGCCUUCUAGUGAUAGUCAGACGGUUAACAAAACGGAAUGGAAAGUCCGGCCAUAGUAGGUGAUAGCCCUGUAUGUGAAAACCGACUGGUGGUACUGAGCUAGAGAAAAGUAGGGCGGGGCACGAGAAACCCUGUCUGAAUAUGGGGGGACCAUCCUCCAAGGCUAAAUACUCAUCAUCGACCGAUAGUGAACCAGUACCGUGAGGGAAAGGCGAAAAGAACCCCGGGAGGGGAGUGAAAUAGAUCCUGAAACCGCAUGCUUACAAAAAGUAGGAGCCCGCAAGGGUGACUGCGUACCUUUUGUAUAAUGGGUCAGCGACUUACAUUCAGUGGCAAGGUUAACCGAAUAGGGGAGCCGUAGAGAAAUCGAGUCCGAAUAGGGCGUCCAGUCGCUGGGUGUAGACCCGAAACCAAGUGAUCUAUCCAUGGCCAGGAUGAAGGUGCCGUAACAGGUACUGGAGGUCCGAACCGACUAGUGUUGCAAAACUAGCGGAUGAGCUGUGGAUAGGGGUGAAAGGCUAAACAAACUUGGAAAUAGCUGGUUCUCUCCGAAAACUAUUUAGGUAGUGCCUCAAGUAUUACCUGCGGGGGUAGAGCACUGUUUAGGCUAGGGGGUCAUGGCGACUUACCAAACCUAUGCAAACUCCGAAUACCGCAGAGUACAGCUUGGGAGACAGAGCACCGGGUGCUAACGUCCGGACUCAAGAGGGAAACAACCCAGACCGCCAGCUAAGGUCCCUAAAAUUGGCUAAGUGGGAAACGAAGUGGGAAGGCUAAAACAGUCAGGAUGUUGGCUUAGAAGCAGCCAUCAUUUAAAGAAAGCGUAAUAGCUCACUGAUCGAGUCGUCCUGCGCGGAAGAUGUAACGGGGCUAAGCCAGUUACCGAAGCUGCGGAUUUGCAAUUUAUUGCAAGUGGUAGGAGAGCGUUCUGUAAGCCUGUGAAGGUGCCUGGUAACGGGUGCUGGAGGUAUCAGAAGUGCGAAUGCUGACAUGAGUAGCGUUAAAGGGGGUGAAAAGCCCCCUCGCCGUAAGCGCAAGGUUUCCUACGCAACGUUCAUCGGCGUAGGGUGAGUCGGCCCCUAAGGCGAGGCAGAGAUGCGUAGCUGAUGGGAAACAGGUCAAUAUUCCUGUACCGAUGUGUAGUGCGAUGUGGGGACGGAGAAGGUUAGCUCAGCCAACUGUUGGAUAUGUUGGUUCAAGCCUGUAGUCGUGCCUGGUAGGCAAAUCCGCCGGGCUUAGAUGAGGGGUGAUAACGAGUCUGCUUGCAGACGAAGUGAGUGAUACCCUGCUUCCAGGAAAAGCCACUAAGCUUCAGCUACACACGACCGUACCGCAAACCGACACUGGUGCGCGAGAUGAGUAUUCUAAGGCGCUUGAGAGAACUCUGGAGAAGGAACUCGGCAAAUUGAUACCGUAACUUCGGGAGAAGGUAUGCCGCAAGUAGGUGAACUUGAACAAAGGGAGCCCAAAGCGGUUGCAAAAAAUCGGUGGCUGCGACUGUUUAAUAAAAACACAGCACUCUGCAAACACGAAAGUGGA
rnacentral:rRNA from 1 species